rnacentral:rRNA from 1 species
AUGCAAGUCGAACGGUGAAGGUGGAGCUUGCUCUGCUGGAUCAGUGGCGAACGGGUGAGUAACACGUGAGCAAUCUGCCCCUGACUCUGGGAUAAGCGCUGGAAACGGCGUCUAAUACCGGAUAUGAACUGCGAAGGCAUCUUCAGUAGUUGGAAAGAAUUUCGGUCAGGGAUGAGCUCGCGGCCUAUCAGCUUGUUGGUGAGGUAAUGGCUCACCAAGGCGUCGACGGGUAGCCGGCCUGAGAGGGUGACCGGCCACACUGGGACUGAGACACGGCCCAGACUCCUACGGGAGGCAGCAGUGGGGAAUAUUGCACAAUGGGCGCAAGCCUGAUGCAGCAACGCCGCGUGAGGGAUGACGGCCUUCGGGUUGUAAACCUCUUUUAGCAGGGAAGAAGCGAAAGUGACGGUACCUGCAGAAAAAGCGCCGGCUAACUACGUGCCAGCAGCCGCGGUAAUACGUAGGGCGCAAGCGUUAUCCGGAAUUAUUGGGCGUAAAGAGCUCGUAGGCGGUUUGUCGCGUCUGCUGUGAAAACUGGAGGCUCAACCUCCAGCCUGCAGUGGGUACGGGCAGACUAGAGUGCGGUAGGGGAGAUUGGAAUUCCUGGUGUAGCGGUGGAAUGCGCAGAUAUCAGGAGGAACACCGAUGGCGAAGGCAGAUCUCUGGGCCGUAACUGACGCUGAGGAGCGAAAGGGUGGGGAGCAAACAGGCUUAGAUACCCUGGUAGUCCACCCCGUAAACGUUGGGAACUAGUUGUGGGGUCCAUUCCACGGAUUCCGUGACGCAGCUAACGCAUUAAGUUCCCCGCCUGGGGAGUACGGCCGCAAGGCUAAAACUCAAAGGAAUUGACGGGGACCCGCACAAGCGGCGGAGCAUGCGGAUUAAUUCGAUGCAACGCGAAGAACCUUACCAAGGCUUGACAUAUACGAGAACGCUGCAGAAAUGUAGUUCUCUUUGGACACUCGUAAACAGGUGGUGCAUGGUUGUCGUCAGCUCGUGUCGUGAGAUGUUGGGUUAAGUCCCGCAACGAGCGCAACCCUCGUUCUAUGUUGCCAGCACGUAAUGGUGGGAACUCAUGGGAUACUGCCGGGGUCAACUCGGAGGAAGGUGGGGAUGACGUCAAAUCAUCAUGCCCCUUAUGUCUUGGGCUUCACGCAUGCUACAAUGGCCGGUACAAAGGGCUGCAAUACCGUAAGGUGGAGCGAAUCCCAAAAAGCCGGUCCCAGUUCGGAUUGAGGUCUGCAACUCGACCUCAUGAAGUCGGAGUCGCUAGUAAUCGCAGAUCAGCAACGCUGCGGUGAAUACGUUCCCGGGUCUUGUACACACCGCCCGUCAAGUCAUGAAAGUCGGUAAUGCCUGAAGCCGGUGGCCCAACCCUUGUGGAGGGAGCCGUCGAAGGUAGGAUCGGUAAUUAGGACUAAGUCGUAACAAGGUAACC